rnacentral:rRNA from 1 species
UCCGGGCCCCCCGAGAGUUCCGACGUGCAUGAAUGGAUCAACGAGGGCCCCACUGUCCCCGCCUGGAGCCCCGUGAACCCACGUAACGUGGGCGAACAGUCCACGAACUCCCAACGGGGAAAGAAGACCCUGUGGAGCUUUACUGCAGCCUGUCGCUGGGGUGUGGACGGGGGUGCAGAGCGUAGCCGGGAGCCGUCGAUCCCCGUCUCUCCGGGGGCGGGGGGAGGCGACCAUGUAACACCGGCCACCCCUGUCUGCAUCUCUCACCGGCGCGGUGGCGCUGGAACAACGGCAGGUGGGCAGUUUGGCUGGGGCGGCACCCCCUUGAAAAGAUAUCAAGGGGGCCCAAAGGUCGGCUUAGGCGGGACAGAAACCCGCCGUUAAGUGCAAGGGCAAAAGCCGGCUUGACAGGGCCCUUGAAAGCCAGGGGCCCUGAGGGGAAACCCAGGCCUAGCGAUCCAUCGGCUCCUACCAGUGGGGGCCGGUGGUGACAGAAAAGUUACCCCAGGGAUACUGCGCACACCGCCCUAAAGCCAGCGAAGCAUAAUUAAGCAGGUUGUCAAAAACCGAGCCUGUGACAUCCGACAGCACAAGAGGCAACAUCUACUUUUUGGUUGUCGCAGGGACAAAAGCGAAUUUCUUAUUGAAUUCUACCAGAAGAACAGAGAAUGGCUUUGGUGUCAGGUUGUCCCAAGACUCAGAGAUAUCGGGUUUAACCCGAGGAUUAAGCGAUUUAAACGAAGCUACUGACGUGUGACAGUUUACUCGAAAAGCCUCUACGAGGUCCUUGCCAACGCUCGGAAAACUCUCUACGAAUUACUCGAGAACGCAUCGUUGGAGGAUGUAAGGGCAUUAAACUACCUGAGAGGCGCUUUUGACUGCGAAGGCUCGGUACACAAAACAUUGUUCAGGAUAACGUUUUGGAAUAGAGAUAUGGUGAAACUCAUGUUCGUAAAAAAGUUGCUAGGAACAGGUGGGAUAAAAUGUGG